rnacentral:rRNA from 1 species
GACGAACGCUGGCGGCGUGCUUAACACAUGCAAGUCGAACGGAAAGGCCCUGCUUUUGUGGGGUGCUCGAGUGGCGAACGGGUGCGUAACACGUGAGUAACCUGCCCUUGACUUUGGGAUAACUUCACGAAACUGGGGCUAAUCCCGGAUAGGAGCUCCUGCUGCAUGGUGGGGGUUGGAACGUUUCGGCGGUUGGGGAUGGACGCGCGGAUUAUCAGCUUGUUGGUGGGGUAGUGGCAUACCCAGGCUUUGACGGGUACCCGGCAUGAGAGGGUGACCGGGCACAAUGGGACUGAGAGAGGGACCAGACGGCUACGUGGGACAACAGGGGGGAAUAUGGCACAAUGGGCGGAAGCCUGAUGCAGCGACGCCGCGUGCGUGAUGACGGCCUUCGGGGUAUGAACCGCUGUCGCCUGUGACGAAGCGUGAGUGACGGUAAUGGAUAAAGAAGCACCGGCUAACUACGUG